UUCCGGAGCCUGGACAAUAGAGGAAGACCUUGUCUCAAAAAAAAAAAAAAAAAAAGACAUUCUUACAUAGCAGGCAAAAAUUGUUCACCUCCAGUCACAUUAAUUUUCCCAUCUGUGUCUGCUCUUCACCCUCCAGAGACUUUUUCAUUUACACAUUCUCCUUCACUUCCAGUUUCCAGUUACCUGAUUCCUGUUGCAUUUUUUUGUAUAGUCAUAAGUUGCAUAAUGCAAUUUUUUUUUUUUUUGUAUAGUCAUGUACCACGCAACAUUUCAGUCUAUGACAUACCACACAUACAAUAGUGGUCCCAUAAGAUUAUAAUACUGUAUUUUUACGGUACUUUUUCUAUGUUUAGAUAUGUCUUGAUAUACAAAUACUGCGUUAGAAUUGCCUACAGUAUUCAGAAUGCCGUACAGGUUUGUAGCCGAGGAGCAACUGGUAUACCAUAUAGCCUAGGUGUAUAAUAGGCUGUACCGUCUAGGUUUGUGUGAGUACCUCUACAAUGUUUGCACAAUGACAAAACCACCAGAGGCAUUUCUCAGAACAUAUCCCCAUUUGUUAAGUGAUACAUGACUGUACUUAGUGCUCACAUUUAGAACCGUAGAACCCAGAUGUCUGAGCAGGUAGAGGACAUACAUAAUUGAACAAGGGGCUGCAGCCUCAAUGAGGUCCCGUUUGUUGUCUGCAUACGCAGAGCUCUCAAACACAUAACUAAAAAGAUUUUGAAGGCAGAGUUUUAUAAGAGUCCCGUAAAUAGAUAUGGUUUAGAAACAGACUGAAAACAUUAAGGAAAAAACCCCAAUCCUUCCCCCACCACAUACUCCACCCAAAUUGUGGCUUUAAAAAUUUUGCUUUAAAACUUUGGAAUGAACAGAAACUAUUUUGGAUUAAUAUUCUCUGAAACUAUCAUGGCCUGCAUGUAUUAUUUGGACUUUACAUUCUGCCAAAUCCUAUCUAAAAAAUAAAUGUAAGCUCCAUGAAGGCAGGGAGCCUUACCUGUUUUGUUCACUACUGUAUCCCUAGUGCCUAGAACAGUGCCUGGCCUAUGCUACUUGCUUCAUGACUAUUUGCUGAAUUAAUGUAUGUUGUUGAAAGAUUUUUACAUAUGGGGAUCUGAAAUCUAGUUCUUCUAAGAAUUCUCCCUGUAGCUCCUGUGCUCCCAUGGAGUACUGAGAGCCAGAGUUGUCUGGCUAGAUUUCCCUAUCAUUCCACCAGAUGACUCCAUUUCCAAAGUCAUGUAGAAUCCAUUCCUCCUUUGAGGAUGAUGAGAGUCACCUAUAGUAACUUCUAUCCUUUCUCACUAUUGUCUACCAAUCUCCUGCUCAUUCUCCAAUAUUCACUUAAAAAUCCAGCUCCUAACUGAGUCUUCUUGUCUACACCUAUCUCCUAUUGCCUUGAGGAAUGGGGAUGACCCAUCUACUUGCUAGCCUCAUUCCUUGUCCUACCUGACUUCAGUAACCUCCAUCUCUACUCUGGGAUUCUACUCCUACAACCAUGUCCUUGGCAUUGCUACCAUGGAUAAUAACAAUGCUGAUAAUCACUAAUAUUUGAGGGCUUAUUAUGUGCCAGACAGUGUGCUCAGUGCCAUACAAACCUUAUCUCAAUCUUCACCAAAACUUGAAACCACCUUUGCAGAAAUUAUGACCAUGAAAGAGAUUUGCCCUGACUCCAUCUUGCUUCUAACUUCCAAGCUGUCCUUAGUCACUCCUGGGCAAAGACCAAACUAACUUUCAGAGGAACUUAGUUUAUAUUUUAACUUUGAAACAAAGAUGGUAACAACACUUUCCUGAAACAAACCUCCUUCUUGCCUGGGGACCAGACUGCCUUUGUAAGACUAACAAAUUAGCCACAAGAUUAGAAAUUAUUGUUUAGGAGUUAUGCAACCAAAGAUUUGGACCUCUCCAGUUGCUCCUAGGGAUAAAAUCACUUUUGUAAAACCUAAGAUUGGUGGUUGAGAUAUCUUUCAGACCCUGCAUUCUGAUGCACCAGCUGGAGCCACCCAGACUGAUAAUCUGGUUCAACCAGUCCUGGCUCACCCAGGAACAGAAGACAGCAAGAAGAACCCACUUUGACCUCCUAUUAAUUUGAACUCUGACCAAAUCCAUCAGUACUCCCCACUAUCCUAGCCCCCUACCUGCCAAAUUAUCCUUUGAAAAAAAAAAAAAAAAAACAAUUUUUCAGGGAGACCGACUUGAGUAACAAAACUCCAGUCUCCCACUUAGCCAGCUCUGCGUGAAUUAAACUUUCUCUAUUGCAAUUCCUGUCUUGAUAUAAUGGCUUUAUCUGGGCAGCAAGCAACAACCCAAUGGGCAGUUACAAACUCCAUAGAAGACACUUGGAUGGAGAGGUUCAAAUAAAUUUUUAAAGGUCACUCAGCUUGAAAGUGGUGAAAUUUUAAUUUAAAUCCAGGUCAGUCAGACUCUUCAGCCUGUGCUCUUAAUCAUCCCUUGGGAUGGAAAGAAUCAAGACAGAAACCCCAGGCCUGCCACUUCUGUCACAUAGGCUUUUUUACUUUGAGCAAAAUAAAAAUCUCCUAAGCCUCCGUUUUCUAAUUCAUAAAAUGGAGUCCAGAAUAAAGAAUAUAUGUUAAAGGCCUAGCACUGUGCCAGACGCAACACAAAUGUUCACCCAUUCCACCAGCAAAUGCUUAUUGAGGACCUCCCAUACAUCCAAUCCUGUGCAUGGGUGCUGAAGACAGAGCAGUCAAGACAAAGAAGUUUCCUGCUUCCAAGAUGUGCACAGCACUAGGUGGAUGCUCAACAAAUAUUUGAACAAACUCUCAGAGAGGUCAUCCUACUCUCAAGAUUUCCAGCCGCCACUCUGCCUCCUUUCAAUCAACCACAGUUAUUCUGCUAUAAAGCAAUCUAAUGAGGUUCCUUUCCUGCUUAAAAUCCUUCAGUGAAUUUCUCAUUGUCUCAGAGAUAAAAUCCUUCAUUUCUUAAUGGUGUAAAUUUCUUAACACAAUGUACAGUUAUGACCACAGGUAAGAGGCUGUUUUGUUCACCCCGUCUUUGUUAUGCAAUCAAACCUAUUUGGAAGCUUGAACUGCAAACCAGAUGAAUGUAGACCUAUUGUAGUUAAUGAGCCUGAGAACUGGAGUCACCACAGUUUGGCAUCCUAAACUCUCCCCACCUCACACACAAACAUAGACUCACACAGCUGCAGUUCCUAAGGCAAUGCAAUGAGUUCUGUGAAAAGGUUUGAAAUCUAAUUGUAGGACACAGCCUAUUAGUGCAUUAUGAAAUCAAUUUAGUGGAUGCAAUCAGCAAUGUGGAAAACAAGAGUACAUUACAUGAGCUAAUGGCAAAGUACUGGUAUACAAAAUCUAUGCUACAUGUGCUAUGAACAUGCUCGUAUACCGAGUUAUACAUUGUAUUUAUAUUGUAGAUCAUGAUCAAAAUAGUUUGAAAGCUCUAUGUAGCCUCAGUUCCCAUGUUUCUUCAGUCACAGCUUGAUAAAACUCCAUCAAGCCACUUGCAGUUACCUAUUGUUUGCUUCGGUGCCUAUGGGUGUAUACAUCAGAUGUGGUGCUAGGCCCUAGGGAUGCAAUAGUAAGCAUAACCAAAGUCCUGCUCACAGGGCACUUAGAAUCUAGAGAAACAGACAAAUAUUACACUAACCACACUAAUACACAACCGUGAACCAAGCUAAGUGGUCUAAAUGAAAGAAAUGGUUUUUCAAAAUACAAAUCAAAAGCAAUUAUCUAAUCCAGGGCUUCAAGGGAGGCAUCCCUAAAGAUUUAAUCAGUAGAGACCUAAAGACCAUGUGAGAAUUCACUAUGUAAAAUGGGGGAGGAAGAGCAUUCCACACAUAAUGCAAUGUGAGAGUCUCCAUGAUCAGAGAAGGUGGCUUUGUUUCACAAACUGAAAAAAAAAAAAAAAAAAAAAAAAAGCCAGCAUGCUAGGACCCAGAGAACAAGUAGGAAGUGACACAAGAUGAGACUGGGAAAGUUGGCAGUGGCCAGAUCCUUUAGGAUCUUAUGGCCUCAAAGUAAUGGGAAGCCAAACAGGAGACAAUGAGAUGGGAGUUGAGGCCCUCAGAAUAAUUCAGGUGAGUGGUGACAGUGAACUGAUUUAAUAUGUUGGAAACAGACAACGGGGAGAAAAGCUGGUAGUAGUGAAACAGAGGCUGACUUAGGCUUCUGGCUCAUACAACUGGAUGGAUGAUGUUACCACCUGGAGAGAGUAAACUGGAAGAGAUGAGGUUUGGAGAGAUUAUGGAGUUCGUCUUGGAGUUGCAUUUAAAGUGACUCUGAGGUAGAUAUGUAGGUCAUAAGCUCAGAAUCAAUAUCCCAAGACAGCCUAGAAGUCAUGAGUUUAUAGAUGGUAAAUGAAACUGGGUAUACAUAUGAGAAAAAUGCCUGGGUUUGAGCCAUGAAGGCCUCCCCACUUCUGGGUAAAUUCUUACCACAAAUGUGUAUAUACAUAUAUAUUAACCACACACUUAUACCUGUUUACUUUUUUUAAGUUCAAAUAUAGAAAUAAUAAAAUAAAAAAUGAAAGUUUGCUCACUGGGUAAUUAGUAACUAUGUACCUUUAUAAUUUAAAAAUAAAAAUGGAAUUAUGCCAUAUAUACUUUACUAUAAUCUGCUUUUUAAAAUCAGCAAUCUAGUGAGAUAUUCUAUACUAGGGUAUAGGCAGUUCUAUCUUAUUCAUUUGAAUGGCUAGAAACUAUUAUAUAGUAGGGAUGCAUCACAAUUUAAGCAACCCUCUAGUCUCUACUGAUGGACAGGUAUGUUAUCUAGCAGACAGUUACCAACAUGCCCAUUCAACAUCCACUGCCCCCUUUUCUCUGGUUCACUGAAGCUAUUUUGUUCCAAUGGCAACAUUCUCAGCUGCAGGUGAUGGUUCAUGACUGGCUUAAGCCAGAUGUGACCAUCUUGUUGCCUACUUUUAUAACAUCUCUUCUUCUAUGGGCAGCCAUGCUAUCCCGUUCUGGCUAAUGACCCUAAAAAGUCAGCUUUUGAGUAAGCUUUUGUUUUCCUAAAAAAAA